rnacentral:piRNA from 1 species
UGCUACCUAAAUGCCAAGAACAAUGAUGA